rnacentral:rRNA from 1 species
CAACGUGAGCAACCUGCCUUUCAGAGGGGGAUAACAGUUGGAAACGACUGCUAAUACCGCAUAACGCUGCGAUGGGGCAUCCCGAUGCAGCCAAAGGAGCAAUCCGCUGGAAGAUGGGCUCGCGGCCGAUUAGCUAGUUGGUGGGGCAACGGCCCACCAAGGCGACGAUCGGUAGCCGGACUGAGAGGUUGAUCGGCCACAUUGGGACUGAGACACGGACCAGACUCCUACGGAAGGCAGCAG